rnacentral:lncRNA from 1 species
CUAUGUCACAUUUGGCCAAGCAUAUAGCUUACUUUAGCUAGCUGUUGUAUUGCUUCACUACUGUAACUUGUAAAAGAGAUGAGUGAAGUGGACCUUUCUGUUGUAAAUAGAUUAGCUAGCUACUCAAUGAAGGGAUUUUCCCUGCUCUCAGCUGUUCUGUGCUCUGCAUCCCCACUGCUCCUAGCUUUUGCAUUUCAGCACUCUGAAUACACAAGUGGUUUAUUAAGGCCCCUCUCUGCUGCCUUCCUGCCUGUGCUAGCUUCUCUCCUCUGCUGCUCGUUGAGGGCAAAAAAAAGGGAGAAUAAAACUCCUCCGCUAUCAAGAAUCCAGGUGUGUUUACCAUAUAUCUUUUAUCUUCUCGCAUGGGUCAGGCGAAAUAUUUGACAAGUUUUUCUGCAAGAUAUAAAUGACCUAGUCUUCGGACAAAUAGGAAAACUAGUCGCUAGGCGAUGGCGCAGCGAGCAGAGCUACAGCCGGGUGCUCUCCCGAAUCUUCUUCGCUAUAUAUUUCUCUCAGGGUUGACAAAUAACAGCGCGGAAGUUUCCGGGGGAAACUGAGAGGUUACGGUGACAGACAAGGAGCACAAUUAUCACACCAUGAUGAAGGAGGGCUGGUGAGGAGCGCAGCUCUCCGUUAAUUACGCUCCUUUCUCUACCGGCCUCUAAUGUGAGGAAAAACACGCAGUGACAAGUGUGUAAAAGAGCAAGCACUAAAUUACUGUCAGGAAAAAUAAACGGAGGAUGACGCGGCCGGCGUGGUGAUUUACGGGGGCAAUUAGUCACUACCCCAUGGAGAUGCUGAGGACAGCAGUGUGGCGAGGAGAGGAGAGGGAGGGACCUUGUCAGUGGAAGACUUCAGAACACUUGAAUCGCUAAACGUUUAAAAUGAGCACAGUCCUACAAGCUUUACACACAUCAAUGGACCAUAAUCGCAGCUAAAAGUGACACCAGCAAGACACUUCAGACUAAAGGCUUCUGGGUUUCUCAGAAUGACACUUCUUCUUGAUUUCUUUGUAUUAUAUCUCCAAACAGGGGCUCAGAAACAGGGGGUUACGUUUAAAGUCGUCACAUGUCCAUCACUUUUCAUGCUCAACGUGAAACAAGGCUUUUAUCACACAUUAGAAUACCUGCUGUACUUUUUAGUAAAGCCAUUGGGAAUAUGCAGAGCAGGCAAUGGAGCUCAUUGAUAUGUAAUGACUGACGACAGAUUGUCAAAUCAUUUUUGUUAAUUUCACUCAUUCCAGGUCCAUUGAACAAGCGUGGCGUGCCCACCUCUCCCAGAGAGAGGAGAAUACUCUCUGAUGUGAUAUUGUUGAACAAAUUUGAAACUGUCCUCAGUAAGAAAUUGUCACAUUGUGUGAUAUUGUACAGAGAAGUGAUGAAAUGGAGCAUUUGUCAAGGAAGGGAAUAUAAAAGAUGUGUUGGAGAAAGUUUUGCAUUUACCAGCAUCUGCACGUUUCCACCACAGUAAGAUAGAUGAGUGAAUUAGAGCCCACUGGAAUUCCACUCCUGGCUGUACACAUUUAGAUCUUUAUCAGCCUGUACGCUCCAGAUUAUUUGAUAAGAAACCAUAAAGACAGUCUAUACUUUCUCCAUUUAUGUCUAUUUUUCUUUUUAUUUCUUAUUAUUACUACAAAAAUAUAUUUCAAUGAAAAAACUGUGGAAAUCUGAUCAAAUGUAAGGAGUAAGCCAUGUAUUCUUCUGUUUAGUUGUGUAUCUUCAGUCAUUUACUGUGAACCUUUACGUUCUGUUUAGAUGUUUUUCUGUGAGUAGGACAAUGCCCUGGCUUUUGAAAAGGUUGUAGUAAUAAUAUACGAUACCAUAAAGACAGUCUAUACUCUCCGUGUUUGUCUAUUUUCCUUUUUAUUGAGG